UGGGACCACAUAGCCUUUUGAAAGGCUUUCACAGUUUGAAAAAAGAAUACACGUGUGACCUUUCGUUUUUUCUUUGCAAGAGUAUUGAGAGACUGAUGUGGAAGAUCUAAGCCAUUUAACAAGAUGCGAAGGUACUUCGAUUCCUCUAAUGUAUUCAAAACAAAAGUUACAUUGGAAUUGACGCAUAUGGCAUGGUUAUUACGUGUGCCUUUCAUUGCACUCUUAGAUCAUUCAACGAGUUAUGAAUCUUGAUUUUGACGGCUUAUUGGAGGUUAUAUGGGACGGGUUCAUAUUGUUUGAGUUGGCACUGACAGUUCAUUGGAGGUUCUGUUGAUAUAUAGUACUAUUGUUUAUGGUUGUUUGGCUUUGGUUCAUGCUUUUUAUGCAAUGUCUUAUGUACUUUAUUUCUCUCAUUUUCCUUGUAAUCACUAUUCUAGUUUUUAGCUUCU